GGAUCAGGGAGAUCUUGAAGGCUUCUCGAAAAUUGCAAGGUGAUCCAGAUUUGCCGAUGUCUUUUACUCUGGCAAUAGUGGAAUCUGAUUCUACAAUAGUCUAUUAUAAACUUACUGAUGGAUUUAUGCUUCCAGACCCUCAGAAUAUUUCCCUCAGAAGAUGACAUCUAUGUUUCCUGAUGCUUAUUUUACUCAUACAAGAGUGGAUUCAAGACCCGUCAGCUUGCUUCAUCUUUUAUCUUGGAGAUAGUCAGGGUUGACUUUCCCAUUUUAUAAAUUUCCCUCUCUGAAGAAUAAAACUUCCCCAGAUAGAAAAUUUUUUUUCCUUCAAAAAUAUAGGCUGAUUGCUCCAGAAAUCUUCUAUCUGGAGACAGUUUAAUUACAGUUAUACACAGGUUUAUGCCUAGGAUGUGCUCAGAUGGGCGGAACCCAUGUGCUGCUCCUGUCAUCCUACACUUGUGCUGCCUCUGUGUUCCAUGCUGCCACUGCUGGCUCAUUGUUGAGGCUAGCACAUUUUUCUUUUACUCAACUCUCCCAGGGCCUUUUGGCCACUACAGCUAGCUUGGAAUGGCAUUUCAUAUAUACCUUGUCAUCUGCAGAGUUUACUUCUGUAUGCUUUUUCAUCCUCAGUAGAAAGUAAAACAUUUAUUUCCAUUGGUCUUCUGUUAUAAUUACUGUUACCUCUCUCUUUGGUUGACUUUAAAUCAAAACAAAAUAUGUUCAUCCAGAGUGUAAACGUAUAUGUUUAGGUUAAUAGGGACCAUAGAAGUGCUACCUACUAGGCCUUCCUUUCCAUUCUUAUCACCACCAUCCUUAUUAUGUCAUGGCUAGAAUAUUAGAAGAGAGACAGUGUGUAACAGUAUCAGCCUCAAAACCAUUUUUAUUCAUUUGACUUAGUGAUUCCACUUUUGUUAAUAUCCCCCAAUCAUGUUUUCUGAAGUAUGAAAAAUAUUCACAAAGAUGAUCCAAGUUGCAUUAAUUUUAAUAGCCCAGUUAAUUUUAUAAAUCACUUAAAGUUUAAGGCAAGGAUCAGCAAACUUUUUCUAUAAAGACACAGAAAGUAAAUAUUUUAGGCUUUGCAGACCAUACUGUCUCUGUAGUAACCUGUUAACACUCCUGUCCAUAGCACAAAAGCAGCCAUGGACAAUAUGUAAACAGUGUGGACAUGACUAUGUUCCCAUAAAACUUCACUUACAAAUAUGGGGGCAUAGUUUGCCAUCCCUGGUCUAGGUAAUGGUCCAUAAACAGGUAUAUGAAUGGUACAUUAUGUACUCAUUAUGUACUCAUAAUGAAUGUUAUAAAAAACAUGAGAACUAUUAUAUUAAAUAAAGGUUGCAAGAUACAAGAUGGUAUGAAUGGGUGUAAUCAAGGCUACAAAUAAGCAUGUAAUAAAAAGAUGGCAAAUCAAAUUACUAACUGUGGUUAUAGUAGGAUGGUAGGGCAGUAAAUGGAUAACUUUAUGUUUUCUCAGUGUUUCAGUUUUUAUUUGUAUUGCUUUUACAAUAAAAACAUCUUAAAUUUUU